CAAGAGCUCAACUUUGGAAUCGCUCCGGCGAGUUGUAGUCUGGAGGUGGCCACCACGAGGUGUUCUAGCAGCAGGCAAGUCCUUUGGAACAAGGCGCCAGCGAGGGUGACAGCCCCGUACCUGCUUUUGCUAGUGCUUCCUGUGGCCCACCGACGAGUCGAGUUGUUUGGGAAUGCAGCUCUAAGUGGGUGGUAAAUUCCAUCUAAGGCUAAAUAUUGGCGAGAGACCGAUAGCGAACAAGUACAGUGAUGGAAAGAUGAAAAGCACUUUGAAAAGAGAGUGAAACAGUACGUGAAAUUGUUGAAAGGGAAGGGCUUGCACCCAGACACGGUUUCGGCCGGGCCAGCAUCAAGUAGAACGGGGUUAAAAGACUUGGGGAAUGUAGCUACUUCGGUAGUGUUAUAGCCCUUGGUGAUGACCCCUGUUUUGCUUGAGGACAGCG
rnacentral:rRNA from 1 species